rnacentral:tRNA from 1 species
GCGCUGGUGGUGUAACGGCAACACACCCCACUCCCGGUGGGGAGCUACCUGGUUCGAUUCCGGCCCGGCGCU